rnacentral:rRNA from 1 species
UACGGAGGGUGCAAGCGUUGUCCGGAAUCACUGGGCGUAAAGGGCGCGUAGGCGGCUCAUGAAGGCUGUGGUGAAAGUCCGGGGCUCAACCUCGGAUCGGCCGUGGCGACUCGUGGGCUGGAGCACUGUAGAGGCGGGUGGAAUUCCGGGUGUAGCGGUGGAAUGCGUAGAGAUCCGGAAGAACACCAGUGGCGAAGGCGGCCCGCUGGGCGGUGGCUGACGCUGAGGCGCGACAGCGUGGGGAGCAAACAGG